rfam:Arabidopsis lyrata subsp. lyrata unplaced genomic scaffold ARALYscaffold_4, whole genome shotgun sequence.
GUCGAGCUAAGUAACGAGAGCUUGUGACCCGAGUGGGGAUAUCAAGGUGGUGGAACAAUGGUUCGAGUCCACGGGUCGGAUCUGGUGUUGGCAAGUUUCUGAACUGCCCAGUCCAAGCUGUGAGUAAUCCGUGUGGGUCGAGCGAAGGCUUGGCUUAGGCGGGUUCUAUAGUCGGAGGGUAAUGCGUGAGGCUGGUUUCACAGAGCAGCGACUACUUCCCGCUUACAGCAGUGGACGGACCACAGUUCGGCGUCGCCCAGAUCCACUUUGGCCUGCUGGUUCGAUCUCACCUGAACCACCAUUUUU